rnacentral:rRNA from 1 species
AUACGGAGGGGGUUAGCGUUGUUCGGAAUUACUGGGCGUAAAGCGCACGUAGGCGGAUUGGAAAGUAAGGGGUGAAAUCCCAGGGCUCAACCCUGGAACUGCCUCUUAAACUCCCGGUCUUGAGUUCGAGAGAGGUGAGUGGAAUUCCUAGUGUAGAGGUGAAAUUCGUAGAUAUUAGGAGGAACACCAGUGGCGAAGGCGGCUCACUGGCUCGAUACUGACGCUGAGGUACGAAAGUGUGGGGAGCAAACAGGAUUAGAAACCCCAGUAGUCC